rnacentral:rRNA from 1 species
GACGAACGCUGGCGGCGUGCUUAACACAUGCAAGUCGAACGGAAAGGCCCUGCUUUUGUGGGGUGCUCGAGUGGCGAACGGGUGAGUAACACGUGAGUAACCUGCCCUUGACUUUGGGAUAACUUCAGGAAACUGGGGCUAAUACCGGAUAGGAGCUCCUGCUGCAUGGUGGGGGUUGGAAAGUUUCGGCCGUUGGGGAUGGACUCGCGGCUUAUCAGCUUGUUGGUGGGGGAGUGGCUUACCAAGGCUUUGACGGGUAGCCGGCCUGAGAGGGUGACCGGCCACAUGGGUCCUGAGAUACGGCCCAGACUCCUACGGGAGGCAGCAGGGGGGAAUAUUGCACAAUGGGCGGAAGCCUGAUGCAGCAACGCCGCGUGCGGGAUGACGGCCUUCGGGUUGUAAACCGCUUUCGCCUGUGACGAAGCGUGAGUGACGGUAAUGGGUAAAGAAGCACCGGCUAACUACGUG